rnacentral:rRNA from 1 species
AUUGAACGCUGGCGGCAGGCUUAACACAUGCAAGUCGAACGAGUGGCGGACGGGUGAGUAAUGUAUGGGAAACUGCCCGAUGGAGGGGGAUAACUACUGGAAACGGUAGCUAAUACCGCAUACCAUCAGAUGUGCCCAGAUGGGAUUAGCUUGUUGGUGGGGUAACGGAUCACCAAGGCAACGAUCCCUAGCUGGUCUGAGAGGAUGACCAGCCACACUGGAACUGAGACACGGUCCAGACUCCUACGGGAGGCAGCAGUGGGGAAUUUUGCACAAUGGGCGCAACCCUGAUGCAGCCAUUCCGCGUGUAUGAAGAAGGCCUUCGGGUUGUAAAGUACUUUCAGCUGAGAGGCGUUACCUGCAGAAUAAGCACCGGCUAACUCCGUGCCAGCAGCCGCGGUAAUAC